rnacentral:rRNA from 1 species
CAUAGCCGCGGUAACACGUAGGGUGCGAGCGUUAAUCGGAAUUACUGGGCGUAAAGGGUGCGUAGGCGGUUGUUUAAGUCUGUUGUGAAAUCCCCGGGCUCAACCUGGGAAUGGCAAUGGAAACUGGACGGCUAGAGUGUGUCAGAGGAUGGUGGAAUUCCCGGUGUAGCGGUGAAAUGCGUAGAGAUCGGGAGGAACAUCAGUGGCGAAGGCGGCCAUCUGGGACAACACUGACGCUGAAGCACGAAAGCGUGGGGAGCAAACAGGAUUAGAUACCCGCGUAGUCCCUGUCUCUUAUACA